rnacentral:rRNA from 1 species
UACGGAGGGUGCAAGCGUUAGCCGGAAUUACUGGGCGUAAAGCGCGCGUAGGCGGCUUUGCAAGUCGGGGGUGAAAUCCCCAGGCUUAACCUGGGAACUGCAUUCGAUACUGCAUUGCUAGAGUAUGGGAGAGGGAAGUGGAAUUUCCGGUGUAGCGGUGAAAUGCGUAGAUAUCGGAAGGAACAUCAGUGGCGAAAGCGACUUCCUGGACCAAUACUGACGCUCAUGUGCGAAAGCGUGGGGAGCAAACAGG